rnacentral:rRNA from 1 species
GAUGAACGCUGGCGGCGUGCCUAAUACAUGCAAGUCGAGCGAACGGACGAGAAGCUUGCUUCUCUGAUGUUAGCGGCGGACGGGUGAGUAACACGUGGAUAACCUACCUAUAAGACUGGGAUAACUUCGGGAAACCGGAGCUAAUACCGGAUAAUAUUUUGAACCGCAUGGUUCAAAAGUGAAAGACGGUCUUGCUGUCACUUAUAGAUGGAUCCGCGCUGCAUUAGCUAGUUGGUAAGGUAACGGCUUACCAAGGCAACGAUGCAUAGCCGACCUGAGAGGGUGAUCGGCCAAACUGGAACUGAGACACGGUCCAGACUCCUACGGGAGGAAGCAGUAGGGAAUCUUCCGCAAUGGGCGAAAGCCUGACGGAGCAACGCCGCGUGAGUGAUGAAGGUCUUCGGAUCGUAAAACUCUGUUAUUAGGGAAGAACAUAUGUGUAAGUAACUGUGCACAUCUUGACGGUACCUAAUCAGAAAGCCACGGCUAACUACGUG